rnacentral:sRNA from 1 species
UCUUCAGUGCUCUCUCCUCUCUCUCCCUCCUCAGAUUUGUGCUGGGUUAUGUGACUGCAAGGUGCUACAGAGGACACAGUCUUUUCUUCACUUUUUUCUUUAUUUUUCUUUUCAGAACACUCACUUUUUCUCUUUUCUUUUGUCUAUCUUAUCUAUCUUUUCUCUGCUGUUAGAAGCACAGACAGUUCUCAGAUCAACUGAGAGAGUUAUUCCUCUUCAUUCACUGUAAAGUCUUCCAGACACAGCAGCAGCAGUUUCCCUUGGAAACCACACUAUAGCUCCACCAUGAAUAGUCAUACA